CCUGAUAGCUUAGUUGGUUAAGAAUUUGCCUGCAAUGCAGGAGCCCCAGGUUAGAUUCCUGGAUCAGGA
rfam:TPA: Bos taurus chromosome 27, whole genome shotgun sequence.